rnacentral:rRNA from 1 species
AGUAAAUAGAUACCCAGGUAGUCCACGCCGUAAACGAUGAGUACUAGGUGUAGGAGGUAUCGACUCCUUCUGUGCCGCAGUUAAACACAAUAAGUACUCCGCCUGGGAAGUACGGUCGCAAGAUUAAAACUCAAAGGAAUUGACGGGGGCCCGCACAAGCAGCGGAGCAUGUGGUUUAAUUCGAAGCAACGCGAAGAACCUUACCUAGACUUGAUAUCCCCUGAAUAACGUAGAGGUACGCGAAGCCCUUCGGGGCAGGGAGACAGGUGGUGCAUGGUUGUCGUCAGCUCGUGUCGUGAGAUGUUGGGUUAAGUCCCGCAACGAGCGCAACCCUUAUCAUUAGUUGCUACCAUUUAGUUGAGCACUCUAGUGAGACUGCCCGGGUUAACCGGGAGGAAGGCGGGGAUGACGUCAAAUCAUCAUGCCCCUUAUGUCUAGGGCUACACACGUGCUACAAUGGUGAGAACAACGAGAUGCAAUACCGCGAGGUGAGCAAAACUUCAAAACUCAUCUCAGUUCGGAUUGUAGGCUGAAACUCGCC